ACACAGCACUGACCAGAACAAACUUUGGCCUCAAAACUUGAUAACAAAUUUCCACCAAGUUGCCUCAGUUUUACAUAUCGCCAAUCAAAGGGCCCCAAAAACUCCUUGCCGCUCCCAAAACGCAUUGCCCAAUUCAAGCAAUUUAACAAAUGACUUCCUCCUUCGCUCCGCCGCAACCGCAAGAACGCGACGUCCCAUCAGCCAGCGAAUCGCAGGACCUCCAAUCCGACCACAUUCACGUCCCCAGAAGCGUCAUUAUCGGGCGCCAGAAAUCGCCACGGAGCAGCGGCCCUCAACUUUGGCCAGCCUGCAAAGCGGUGGGAGCCAUGGACCGAGGGAGACGUGGGACCCAAGGCUCGGAGCAUGCCAAGCCGAGAGUGAAUUGGCUUCAUUGCGUCUAAAUGUGGUGUCAGAAGACACGGACACGGCGGCUGUCCGUUCCUACUUACUUACUUCCUGCAGUGUUGCCAACUAUCGAUUCCCAGAAUGAUGAAAAAUAGCUGCAAAGUGAGUUCAGAUGAUAUAGUUUAUUUUGUCUGCCCAAUAAAUAAGAAGGCCUCAUUACUUACUUUAAAUUUUUAACGGUAAGAAGCAAAUAUUUUUUCAAUAAAUACUUUUUUCAACUCGAAAAUGCGACCAGUUCUUUGUGUAGCAAUAAAAUGAACAGUAAGAUAGUAGUUCACAAAAUAUUUAUUAUGGAAUUCGUCUUUAGUUUAGCAAAAAGAAAUUCAUGAACUUAAAAUAUUUGUUAGUCAAACGUUAAUGUCCUAAAGUAUACAAUUAAGAACAAGUUGUAACUUCAUUUGUUAAGUGGUUUAUUUUUGUAGAAAUACAAAACUUAACUUCAAAAUAGUUGAAUUUUGAACCACAUCAAGGAUUAAGGAUGGCUACAAAAUAGCUCAGUUGGCAACACUUGUACUGCCCCCCAAAGCAAAUACGGCUUUCUUAUCUUUUGCUUUUCAAUGGAGUAAAGGACUGCUAUUGACACUUUGCCAAAAGCGGCCAAGUCUCGCACUUAAUGAUGUCUGCAAAUAUUUUUGCAAUCACGAUUAUUUUACACCCAGGACCUUUCAUGGAAAAUGGAAUUCCUUUGUAGCCGCCAGUGCGCUCACUCCCUAAUUGAAUUCAAUACAUAAAACUGCAGCUUUGUUGUUGGUUUAGGUUGUAGUAGGUAGGUAUACAUACACACGUUUAUUAUUUUUUCCGAAAAAUUAAAUUGUAAGUGAGAAAUUCUCAUCUUGUACAUACAGAUUUUUCUUUGUAUUUAGUGUUAAAGUAGUUAAUGUGAUUUUCCUUUUAUUUCACUUCCUUUACACAUUCUUCUUGAGCCAUAAAAGGUAUCCAAAAAGUUAAUUUUCCAAAAGUAAGCUGAAGAAUUUAUUUAUCAAACAAAGGUCGCUCGUCAGCCUUUGUUCAUCGUCAUCAAAACGGGAAUGAUCCUUACUUCCUCCUCCUUCUUUUCUUCGACCACAUCAUUAAACUCCUCGCGCUACGUUUCCAUGUGUUUUAGUUUAGUGAUACGUUGCAUUAAAUUAAGAAAUUAUCACAUCAUAUUUGAAAAUGGGUUUUUGCGUUUAAGUAAAGAGUGUUUUUGAUGUUUUCAAUUGGAUUCUAGGCCGACCUUGCGGUUCAGCGUCAAAUAAAUUACAAAUCAUUUAAACAUAAAGUCGCUAUGUUCAAAUAGCUUGGUUUUUUGUGUUCCAUUGGAGUUAAAUGUCUGAAUUAAAAUCUGAGAAUAACCGUUAGCGGUUCAGUGAAAAUUGUACGAAAACUUAAACUUAGGCUAUUAACUUAAUUUAAC